UGCCGAGAUGAGGAACAAAAAAACCUCCACAGACA
rnacentral:tRNA from 3 species